rnacentral:rRNA from 1 species
GGACUACCGGGGUUUCUAAUCCUGUUUGCUCCCCACGCUUUCGUGCAUCAACGUCAGGAAUGAGCCAAGAAGCUGCCUUCGCCAUCGGUGUUCCUCCCGAGAUCUACGCAUUUGACCGCUACUCCGGGAAUUCCACUUCUCUCUCUCACCCUCUAGUACAAAAGUAUCCAUCGCAUGUUCCCAGUUAAGCCGGGACAUUUAACAACGGACUUCUCAUACCGUCUACGCACCCUUUACGCCCAAUGAUUCCGAACAACGCUUGCACCUCUCGUAUUACCGCGGCGGCUGGCAC